rnacentral:rRNA from 1 species
AGCUUGCUCCCGGAUGUUAGCGGCGGACGGGUGAGUAACACGUGGGUAACCUGCCUGUAAGACUGGGAUAACUCCGGGAAACCGGAGCUAAUACCGGAUAGUUCCUUGAACCGCAUGGUUCAAGGAUGAAAGACGGUUUCGGCUGUCACUUACAGAUGGACCCGCGGCGCAUUAGCUAGUUGGUGAGGUAACGGCUCACCAAGGCGACGAUGCGUAGCCGACCUGAGAGGGUGAUCGGCCACACUGGGACUGAGACACGGCCCAGACUCCUACGGGAGGCAGCAGUAGGGAAUCUUCCGCAAUGGACGAAAGUCUGACGGAGCAACGCCGCGUGAGUGAUGAAGGUUUUCGGAUCGUAAAGCUCUGUUGUUAGGGAAGAACAAGUGCAAGAGUAACUGCUUGCACCUUGACGGUACCUAACCAGAAAGCCACGGCUAACUACGUGCCAGCAGCCGCGGUAAUACGUAGGUGGCAAGCGUUGUCCGGAAUUAUUGGGCGUAAAGGGCUCGCAGGCGGUUUCUUAAGUCUGAUGUGAAAGCCCCCGGCUCAACCGGGGAGGGUCAUUGGAAACUGGGAAACUUGAGUGCAGAAGAGGAGAGUGGAAUUCCACGUGUAGCGGUGAAAUGCGUAGAGAUGUGGAGGAACACCAGUGGCGAAGGCGACUCUCUGGUCUGUAACU